UCAUGGUUUCUAUGUAUUACAAACCUUUGCGUGCAUCUCUGAUCAUUUCCUUGGGAUUCAGCCCUCGAUGUGAAUAACAGGAUCCAAAGUCAAGGCAUCCUUGUAAGGGAUUGGUGCGAACAUUCCUGAAGGGAAAUGGAGCUGGCGAGCUGUCCCUGCCUCUUGAUUAGAGACGCUAGGUGGCGAAUUUCAGCAAGGUUGCCAUAAAACAGCAUCCUAUCUAAGAAGGCAUCUUUGCAAUAAAAUAAUUUACCUGGAAGAGGAGGUUCUCCAUAAGAUAAUAAACAAUACCCAAAUGUA